CGCGGACCUCGCGGGGCCGAUGGCUUCGAAAGUAAAAUGCUCGAGAUGACUUCCUCAACAGUCUAUGGAAGGCGAAAAGGAGGCCCCAACCCAGCCGCGCCAGGCCGGCCUCGCCCGGCGGAGACAGCGCCCGGGCUACAAGUACAAGACUGAGGCAUUGGCCGCGCCGAUCCCCUCUGAAGCCUGCCCCUCACAGACGGCCGUCUUCUCGUGGCACCUCCACGGGGUCGCCCUCGGCGUGCGUCUACGCCAGGAUCCCUGCGUCUAUCAGGAUGCCAGUCAUUUUGGGGGCAGAAAAAUGGAGAAAGAAGCCUUUUGACAAAUAGUACCAUAACACUGAGUAUCCAGAUGUGAAGACGGAAGGAGAGAGAAAGAAGGAGGAAAAAGAACCUCAAUGCACAUCUUAUACCAUGUACAAGAAUUAACUCAAAAUGGCUCAGCUCUAAGUG